UACGAAGGGGGCUAGCGUUGUUCGGAUUUACUGGGCGUAAAGCGCACGUAGGCGGAUCUUUAAGUCAGAGGUGAAAUCCCAAGGCUCAACCUUGGAACUGCCUUUGAUACUGGGGAUCUUGAGUCCGGGAGAGGCGAGUGGAACUGCGAGUGUAGAGGUGAAAUUCGUAGAUAUUCGCAAGAACACCAGUGGCGAAGGCGGCUCACUGGCCCGGUACUGACGCUGAGGUGCGAAAGCGUGGGGAGCAAACAGG
rnacentral:rRNA from 1 species